rnacentral:rRNA from 1 species
UAGUUGGAUUUCUGUUGAGGACGGCCGGUCCGCACUAUGUGCGUGUAUCUGGUUCGGCCUCGGCAUCCUCUUGAAGGAACGUUUCUGCGCUUGAUUGCGUGGAGCGGUAUUCAAGACUUUUACUUUGAGGAAAUUAGAGUGUUCACGGCAGGCAAGUGCCUGAAUAUGUUAGCAUGGAAUAAUAAUAUAGGAUCUUGGUUCUAUUUGUUGGUUUCUAGGGCUAAGGUAAUGAUUAAUAGGGAUAAUUGGGGGCAUUUGUAUUAACGCGUCAGAGGUGGAAUUCUUGGAUUGCGUUACGACAAACUACUGCGAAAGCAUUUGCCAAGGAUGUUUUCAUUGAUCAAGGA